rnacentral:ncRNA from 1 species
UCUUUUCACUCCAUAAGCAUAUCACUAAACAGAAGAAAAGAAAACAACCAGGAUUCCCUCAGUAAUCGUGCAUGAAACAGGAGGAGCUCAACAUCUAAUCUUGUCCAUGCUGGUUGUCAAGAGCUGUAGUACAAAGGUCGUGCACAGUCAGUCAUUUUACCUGGCUAGGUUUGGAGUCCACUUGUUCAAUAAGAGUGAGUGCAAGGGCUAUCCAGAGCUGGCAGUGAUCAAUAGUGUUCUUGAGACUGACAGUUAAUUUGCUUAGGAGCAUAGCCUAAACUGGGCUAUCAGUUCCAUCCAAGUCUAAAUAUGUGGACAACUCCAAUGACCAACAAGUACUGUGAGGCAGAGAUGAAAAGAACUUUGGGGAGAUAGUUCAAGAGACUGUGAAACUGCCCUGGUGUAAAUAGGUAGGACCAUUCACUGCAAUUACAGGAGACUGGUUCUCAUAAAUUUGAGGUCUUCUUGGAAUGUUUGGUGCCAGGUGUUUUUGGGGCCAGCUCUCUUUUUCAUUUUCUUGUUUUCAGUGCCCAUGUCAUUACAGUCUUUAUAUCCAGGAUAGUCAGUAGGUACAAAAUGUCAUUGGUCAGUAAAAUUUAGUAAAAAAAAAGAGAGCCUUUAUGGAGGAUCUUUAAAAAUUC